GACUGUUGAACAACAAGUUCUUGAAUCAAAUCCUGUUCUCGAAGCCUUUGGUAAUGCAAAAACUGUGAGGAAUAACAACUCAAGUCGCUUUGGUAAAUUUGUUGAAAUCCAAUUUGAUAAGCAAGG